rnacentral:rRNA from 1 species
CCCUAGUAUAAAUAUAGAUAUUUGAUUAUUAUGAUUUUGAAAUUUAAAAAUUCUGGCAGUUAAUUAAAAAUUAGGGGAGCUUGUUGAAUUAGAAGAUGCUCUUUAAAUUUUAUUAAUUUAAUGUUUAUUCAUCUCCGUUAAUAGACUAAGUUUGAGAAAAAUUAGGUAAAUUUAAUAUUUCAGGUCAAGAUGUAGCUUAAGUUAAGGAAAAUUAGCUACACUUAUGAAAUAUUGGAUAUAAUAUUUAUUGAAAAAAUAUAGAAAAUGAACUUGAUUGUAAUAUUUAUCAGAAUAUAAAUUUGAAAUAAUAAUUAAUGUA